UUGAACGCUGGCGGCAUGCCUUACACAUGCAAGUCGAACGGUAGAGGGGCAACCCUUGAGAGUGGCGAACGGGUGAGUAAUAUAUCGGAACGUGCCCAGUCGUGGGGGAUAACGCAGCGAAAGCUGCGCUAAUACCGCAUACGAUCUAUGGAUGAAAGCGGGGGAUCGCAAAGACCUCGCGCGAUUGGAGCGGCCGAUAUCAGAUUAGGUAGUUGGUGGGGUAAAAGCCCACCAAGCCG
rnacentral:rRNA from 1 species